rnacentral:rRNA from 1 species
ACACGACUCUCGGCAACGGAUAUCUCGGCUCUCGCAUCGAUGAAGAACGUAGCGAAAUGCGAUACCUGGUGUGAAUUGCAGAAUCCCGCGAACCAUCGAGUCUUUGAACGCAAGUUGCGCCCGAAGCCACUUGGCCGAGGGCACGCCUGCCUGGGCGUCACGC